CAGCAGCCGCGGUAAUACGAGGGGUGCAAGCGUUAUUCGGAUUGAUUGGGUGUAAAGGGUGUGCAGACGGCUUAUUAAGUCACUUGUUAAAUUCUUCGGCCUAACUGAAGGUCUGCAAGUGAUACUGAUGAGCUAGAGGGUGGAAGAGAGAAGUGGAAUUCCCGGAGUAGCGGUAAAAUGCGUAGAUCUCGAGAGGAACACCAAUGGCGAAGGCAGCUUCUUGGUCCAUUCCUGACGUUCAUACACGAAAGCGUGGGGAGCAAACAGGAUUAGAUACCCCCGUAGUCCCUGUCUCUUAUAC
rnacentral:rRNA from 1 species